GUGGGGAAUAUUGGACAAUGGGCGAAAGCCUGAUCCAGCCAUGCCGCGUGUGUGAAGAAGGUCUUCGGAUUGUAAAGCACUUUAAGUUGGGAGGAAGGGCAGUAAGUUAAUACCUUGCUGUUUUGACGUUACCAACAGAAUAAGCACCGGCUAACUUCGUGCCAGCAGCCGCGGUAAUACGAAGGGUGCAAGCGUUAAUCGGAAUUACUGGUCGUAAAGCGCGCGUAGGUGGUUCAGCAAGUUGAAGGUGAAAUCCCCGGGCUCAACCUGGGAACUGCCUCCAAAACUACUGAGCUAGAGUACGGUAGAGGGUAGUGGAAUUUCCUGUGUAGCGGUGAAAUGCGUAGAUAUAGGAAGGAACACCAGUGGCGAAGGCGACUACCUGGACUGAUACUGACACUGAGGUGCGAAAGCGUGGGGAGCAAACAGGAUUAGAAACCCCUGUAGUCC
rnacentral:rRNA from 1 species